rnacentral:rRNA from 1 species
UACAGAGGUCUCAAGCGUUGUUCGGAUUCAUUGGGCGUAAAGGGUGCGUAGGCGGCGCGGUAAGUCGGGUGUGAAAUUUCGGAGCUUAACUCCGAAACUGCAUUCGAUACUGGCGUGCUCGAGGACUGGAGAGGAGACUGGAAUUCAUGGUGUAGCAGUGAAAUGCGUAGAGAUCAUGAGGAAGACCAGUGGCGAAGGCGGGUCUCUGGACAGUUCCUGACACUGAGGCACGAAGGCCAGGGGAGCAAACGGG